rnacentral:rRNA from 1 species
UACGGAGGAGGCAAGCGUUAUCCGGAAUUAUUGGGCGUAAAGCGUCCGCAGGUGGCUAUUCAAGUCUGCUGUCAAAGACCGGGGCUUAACUUCGGAAAGGCAGUGGAAACUGAACAGCUAGAGUAUGGUAGGGGCAGAGGGAAUUCCUGGUGUAGCGGUGAAAUGCGUAGAGAUCAGGAAGAACAUCGGUGGCGAAGGCGCUCUGCUGGACCAUAACUGACACUCAGGGACGAAAGCUAGGGGAGCGAAUGGG